rnacentral:tRNA from 2 species
GGAGGAUUCGCCUAGUGGCCUAUGGCGCACGCUUGGAAAGCGUGUUGGGGAUGAAACCCCUCGGGGGUUCGAAUCCCCCAUCCUCCGCCA